rnacentral:tmRNA from 1 species
GGGGGUGAUAGGUCUCGACAGGGGUGAUCAGAGUAAAGGGAGCAUGCCGAGUCGCUCGACUCGUAAAAUCGGGCACUUUAAAAUAACUGCCGCUGAAUAUGCGGUUGCCUGAUAGUAAAUAGGCUUAACCUGGGGACUUGCCCCCAAGGUUCUCAGGGGAUGGGUUAGGGGGUGGUCGUCCAUACCUUUGAUCCCGAGGUGGACGACGACACCGAAGGGAUCUACCCCCUAUGGUUCGGGGCCCAGCGGACCAUAAGGGUAAAACAAGCUGGGUCUAAGCAUGUAGAGCCCUUUGCUCUGACACUUCUGGACGCGGGUUCGAGUCCCGCCACCUCCAUUA